CUACGGGGUCACCAUUCUGGUUCACGCCACCGCCAGGGUUGAUUGCAGAGCUUGCAGGAGGAGGCGGAGGCGGAGAGCGGUUGGGGGGCGGCGGGCUGGGUGGGGGCGGCGGCGGAGGAGGAGGACGAGGAGGCGGCGGGCUGGGCGGCGGGGAAGGCGGCGGCGAAGUGGGCGGCGGGUUCGGCGAAGGAGGAGCAGGGCUGGGCGGGCGGGGGCUCGGGGGGUUGGGGCUGGGCGGGCGAGGCGAAGGCGGCGGGGGGGGAGGAGGCGAGGGGCUGGGCGGGGGCGGGCUCUGCUCCGUGCGGGCGGUCUUGGGCUUGGACAGCAGCGAGCAGGGCUUGCAGCGCUGGGAGCCCAGGUCCUCCGUGCACUGCUCCACCAGGUUGCCGCCGCCCAGGUCCAGGGGCGGGCAGGCCGUGCACUGGCGCACACCGGGGCGGUCGGCGAAGAAGUCGUAGGGGCACUUGUAGCAGCCGCGGGGGCCCUCAAACUCGUCGCCCAGGUUAUCCGCGUACGCUCCCGAGUAGGGACCGUAGUAACCUGGAAUGGUAGUGAGAGGAAGUAUGGCAAAGAUCAGCGACAGAGCUAUCACCAGGCACCGGCAGUAGUGCAAGAUCCAGGGUCAGCGACAACCGUCCCGUUUGUACCUGCAGCAGUGCCAGGUUACACCACCUACGCAACGAUCAUAAAAACUCACCACGAGGGCAGGCGCGGCAAGAGGUGGCCGAAUCAGGGGCGUUGGCGUAGAAGCCAGCCGCGC
rnacentral:lncRNA from 1 species